rnacentral:rRNA from 1 species
UACGUAGGGGGCGAGCGUUGUCCGGAUUUAUUGGGCGUAAAGAGCGUGUAGGCGGCCAGGUAGGUCUGCUGUGAAAACUCGAGGCUCAACCUCGAGACGUCGGCGGAAACCAUCUGGCUAGAGUCCGGAAGAGGAGAGUGGAAUUCCUGGUGUAGCGGUGAAAUGCGCAGAUAUCAGGAAGAACACCCGUGGCGAAGGCGGCUCUCUGGGACGGUAUUGACGCUGAGACGCGAAAGCGUGGGGAGCAAACAGG